CCCACACACUGGCACCACCCACACCGGCACCAUCUACACAGAUCAACAACAUAUAUUCCACCAUCUCCUACACCAUAAAGAUAGGAUGAUCUCUAACAUCUCCCAGGGGCCUGUAUGAAGCAGACCAAGGCUUGGAACUAAGACACCCGCUUGCUGCUUAAGAAUCAGUUAUCUAGGAGGAAUGGCCAAUUUAUUUAAGCUCAGGGACUUCUCUAGGCAGAGACCAAGAACCUGAACUAGCCAAGGUCUUCACUGAUGGGCAAGUGAGUGAUGAAGUUGGCAUUGCCUGGCAGUAAGGUCUUCCUGAAAAGUCUCCUCAGCAAAACAGUCACAGCGUCCCUGACAGAGGACUCAUGAACCCUGAUUCCACAGGACAGAUUUAAACUUUCUCUCCCAUACUUCAUUUUGUUGGUUCCGAAUUGUCCCAGGAGGUCCAGCAUUGGCCUCAGGGCCAUCCUUCCUCAGAUCCUACGUAUUUUUCCCCACCCACCCCGGAGAGGCCAGGAUCUGGGCUCAUCCACUCAGCUCACAUUCCUGUGGCUUUAGGCUUUGCCUAAUAGGAUCCAGAUGUUGCAGAGUCAUGUGAGCACUGGGCACGCCAGGGGUGGAGGUAGAAGCAACUGCCUGGCUGUGUUGCCGCCUCCCUCAGUCCCAUCGAAGGGCCCCUCAGACAGCUCGUCAGACGCCAAGAGGGAAUCCUGGCAAUAUAAGCAAGACUGCAGAGUGGCAAAGAAGCAAAAAGGAUGUUGCAAUCCAGGAAUCUUAGGCCCAAUUUAAAAAAAGAAAAAUCUCCUACAGUUUCCCACUGGACUCUCUUCCCAGCUGAUAAUUUCAUGGCGAGGGGAGGGAAGUUACCAGAGAUGAACUCCCCUUCCCCUAACCCCAAAUGUGUGGGGUGCAUUGUGGACUCAAAGUGGUGAAGGAAAUAGAUGUUACAUAUGCUCAGAUAUCGUCUCUGGAUUAUUUUGCACAUUACAGAGCAGCAAAACCAGGUUUGUCACCAGAGAUACACUUGACAGGAAUCGCAGCCACUCUUGACUCUCUAAUGAGUGUAUGAUAAACAUGCUUGCACACAUGAUGGUUGCAGUUACAGGUUACGUUUUAAAGUCUGUAUACUUUGAAAAAGAAACCUUAGAUAUAUAGAUUCGAGAAACGUGACAUGUGAAGCAACCCAGUGUUUCAGAGCCAAGCCCUGGGACUGAAAACCGGCUGCUGGGUUGAAUCCUGGCUCAGACUUAGUCCUGCCCAUUAUCUUAUUCUGGAAAAUCCAUCAGUUCUGGCAUCUAAUCCAUCACUGCUCUCUGAAAAACCAUCCCCUUUCAGAAGCCUGGCUCCCAGGUCCUCCUGAAUCAGUUCACUAAAUCCCUGCUCAUCUCCCAGGAAAUCAAGGAUUGAGUUCACUAUAGUAUAAAUAUGCAGAGAGAGCAAGUCUUCCCCACACCACCCAGGAGACUCGGUUUGCAACAGGUUCCAGCUGUUCUGACCAACUCACAGCCACUCCUUGUGCAGAUGGGAUACAGAGAAAGAAAGGCAACCUUUACAUUUUCGCUUUCACCGACUCGACGGCACAACUUUACUUUUAUGGAGGAGAACCAACAAGAUGGGUGUAUGGGUCUAGAGCAGGGCUAGACAACUUUGGCCCUCCAGCUGUUGUUGAACUACAACUCCCCUCACCCCCAGCCACAGUUUAUUGUGGCUGAGGAUGAUGGGAGUUGUAGUUCAACAAUAGCUGGAAAGCCACGGUUGCCUAGCCCUUCUCUAGAGGAUGGCAGAAGAUAUGCCAACUUUGAAAGACAGGAGGAUCGGUAUUAGGGUUGCUCUUUCUCUGCUAUUUUAGUAUUUUAUCAUCCACCCUGCAGCUGGUUUUCCCUCCAUUCUGCUUCCUCUAUGAUUUACGUUUUGCCCCGCCUCCAUUUCCUUCAUUAAUAAACUGAACAGGAAAACUAUAGGCA